AUUGAACGCUGGCGGCAGGCCUAACGCAUGCAAGUCGAGCGGAUGAAGGGAGCUUGCUCCUGGAUUCAGCGGCGGACGGGUGAGUAAUGCCUAGGAAUCUGCCUGGUAGUGGGGGAUAACGUCCGGAAACGGGCGCUAAUACCGCAUACGUCCUGAGGGAGAAAGUGGGGGAUCUUCGGACCUCACGCUAUCAGAUGAGCCUAGGUCGGAUUAGCUAGUUGGUGGGGUAAAGGCCUACCAAGGCGACGAUCCGUAACUGGUCUGAGAGGAUGAUCAGUCACACUGGAACUGAGACACGGUCCAGACUCCUACGGGAGGCAGCAGUGGGGAAUAUUGGACAAUGGGCGAAAGCCUGAUCCAGCCAUGCCGCGUGUGUGAAGAAGGUCUUCGGAUUGUAAAGCGCUUUAAGUUGGGAAGAAGGGCAGUAAGUUAAUACCUUGCUGUUUUGACGUUACCAACAGAAUAAGCACCGGCUAACUUCGUG
rnacentral:rRNA from 1 species